AGAGCGAACGCUGGCGGCAGGCCUAACACAUGCAAGUCGAACGGACCCUUCGGGGUUAGUGGCGGACGGGUGAGUAACACGUGGGAACGUGCCUUUUGGUUCGGAAUAGCUCCUGGAAACGGGUGGUAAUGCCGAAUGUGCCAGUUCGGGGGAAAGAUUUAUCGCCAUUAGAGCGGCCCGCGUCUGAUUAGCUAGUUGGUGAGGUAAUGGCUCAACCAAGGCGACGAUCAGUAGCUGGUCUGAGAGGAUGACCAGCCACAUUGGACUGAGACACGGCCCAGACUCCUACGGGAGGCAGCAGUGGGGAAUUUGGACAAGUGGGGGAAACCCUGAUCCAGCCAUCCCGCGUGUGCGAUGAAGG
rnacentral:rRNA from 1 species